rnacentral:rRNA from 1 species
GCGGCGGACGGGUGAGUAACACGUGGGUAACCUGCCCAUAAGACUGGGAUAACUCCGGGAAACCGGGGCUAAUACCGGAUAACAUUUUGAACCGCAUGGUUCGAAAUUGAAAGGCGGCUUCGGCUGUCACUUAUGGAUGGACCCGCGUCGCAUUAGCUAGUUGGUGAGGUAACGGCUCACCAAGGCAACGAUGCGUAGCCGACCUGAGAGGGUGAUCGGCCACACUGGGACUGAGACACGGCCCAGACUCCUACGGGAGGCAGCAGUAGGGAAUCUUCCGCAAUGGACGAAAGUCUGACGGAGCAACGCCGCGUGAGUGAUGAAGGCUUUCGGGUCGUAAAACUCUGUUGUUAGGGAAGAACAAGUGCUAGUUGAAUAAGCUGGCACCUUGACGGUACCUAACCAGAAAGCCACGGCUAACUACGUGCCAGCAGCCGCGGUAAUACGUAGGUGGCAAGCGUUAUCCGGAAUUAUUGGGCGUAAAGCGCGCGCAGGUGGUUUCUUAAGUCUGAUGUGAAAGCCCACGGCUCACCCGUGGAGGGUCAUUGGAAACUGGGAGACUUGAGUGCAGAAGAGGAAAGUGG